GACGAACGCUGGCGGCGUGCUUAACACAUGCAAGUCGAACGGAAAGGCCCUGCUCUUGUGGGGUGCUCGAGUGGCGAACGGGUGAGUAAAACGUGAGUAACCUGCCCUUGUCUUUGGGAUAACUUCAGGAAACUGGGGCGAAUACCGGAUAGGAGCUCCUGCUGCAUGGGGGGGGUUGGAAAGUUUCGGCGGUGGGGGCUGGACUCGCGGCUUAUCAGCUUGUUGGUGGGGUAGGGGCUUACCAAGGCUUUGACGGGUAGCCGGCAUGAGAGGGUGACCGGCCACAUUGGGACUAAGGUACGGACCAGUCUCCUACGGGAGGCAGCAGUGGGGAGUAUUGCACAGUGGGCGGAAGCCUGAUGCAGCAACCCCGCGUGCGGGAUAACGGCCUUCGGGUUGUAAACCGCUUUCGCCUGUGACGAAGCGUGAGUGACGGUAAUGGGUAAGGAAGCACCGGCUAACUACGUG
rnacentral:rRNA from 1 species